CAGCAGCUACCCUUUCCCUCCUCUCACUAAGCAUGCAGCUUCAGAAUGAAUCUAAAAUGGAUGCUGGGAGGGAGGUGAAGGGGGUCUGCUAGGGAGGGUGUGCUGCUGAUUGGCUGGAAUGUGUCUGCUGACCGAGAGGCACAGGGUCAAAGUUUGCUCAAUGAUGACGAAUAGGGGGCGGAUCGAACCGCCCAUGUGUUCGCCCGCGGUGGCGAACGCGAACACGCUAUGUUCGCCGGGAACUAUUCGCCGGCGAACAGUUCGGUACAUCACUACAAAUAGGUAGGGAUUUUUCAGAGGGAGGAGGACAAACUAGAGGCACAGUGCACACCCGUCAGUUACAGCGCACGUGCAUGCAUUAGUGUACCUUAUGUAGCUCUGCCUUUUGUGUCAAGAGUAGGCAAAAUACUUAAUAUAAAAGUUGUUCUUAUUUUGUGGGGGUCACGGAAAUGCUGUAAGUCUACAUUUAAAGUGCUCUAUCAUUCUUUCUAUUCUAUGCCUCCAAUUCCACAUGGUAAUUGUAUUUUCAAAUAUAAAAUAUAGAGAUUGUAAUUUGCUUUGUGGUUACAAUUUGGUGAGUUUGAACUAUAUGUUUGAUUUUUACAUCUCCAGAGGAAAGAAGCAAACCGCUUUGAGGAUUUACUGCAUAAGAGACUAUUGGAUACUGAAGGACUGUUCUGUAAAG